CAAUACCAGACACACAUACACACACACUGGUAGAUUGUAUAUUACAUUCUGGUAUUUUGGGUUCUCACUAAUCAGGGGACUAAAAUAGUUUUCGGAAAUUAAGUGAGACUGCUGUGAAAUGUGAUUUAAAAGAGGCUGAUAGAAACUAAGUAGAUAUUAAAGCAUGCUGUCAUAACCGGAUUAGUUAUAUUUUUCCAUCAUUUUGCUAAAAUAAAAAUAGAGAAAAGGAGGGAGGAGAGAGGGAAGGAAAUAAAUACCAAACAGUGUGGAUCUCACCCUGAACUUACAGCUCAAGAUUAGCACUGCAGGAGGCUAAGGUUUUGCUGAAGAAACCCUUAGCAGAAAGCUUUGGAUUCUCUUGCCUGACACUGGCAUUGAAAGGGAAAAUACAUAUGGAUAAACUGAUAGAUUGAUAGUUUUAUUUCAUACAGAAAGCAGAUCUCCAGAAAUAGAUUCUAACUCAAAGGAAUAGAAAAGCGUUUUGUUUUGAUUUUGUUGUUGCUGUCAGCAGCCAUCUCAAAUCCAAUCUCUGGACAAUAGAGAUUGUUAUAAAAUGUUUUAGGUUAUAAAGAAAGGAUUCAGCAUACUUAUCUGAGAGAAUCUAUCAUAUAGAAAUCCUUGGAAAAGUUAAUUUAUAACAUAGCAAGUCACAGUUUCUACUUUAGUCAAAAAUGAACAUGGAAUACUUGGUAAAUGCAGCAUGAAUUACUUGAGAACUCAAUACAAAUAACUUGUUACCCAUGUCAGCAGUUGGUGACAUAACCUAAGUGUCAUGACUGUGAAUGUCCUUUUAAAAAGGCACCCAUGUCUUAAUGACAUCUUAUGUGACAGUUCAGCCAAAGAAAGACAUAUUUUGUCACAUUAAAAAAAAAUCCUCACAGAGUGCCCUCUCCACAUCAGGAAUGAGGGAGUAACUUGACCCACCUAAUCCAUAGGAUCGCUUUACAACUGCAGUACAAUUUUCAAGGAACAAUAAAGCUUUCAAAAGUGUUUUUAUUAUCAUGUAUGCACCUUCCAUUUUGCAGCAGUGCAAGGAUAUCUGAGUAUGAGACAUGUCAAAGAAAAACUGCACUGGAGAGACUUAAACAGACAAGGAACACUUCUUUCAACAUUACUGUGAUGGGGAAAGAGCUUGAACUCAACUCCACUGAACCAAAAGGCAGGAAGAUUUCUAAGCACUGGAGUGAGCUGGUGCAAAAGUCCUGGGGAACAUUAAGUCGGAAGUUGGUCAAUGUGAUUAGGCAUCUGUGUUUGCUAAUUGUCAUGUAUCACAGUUAGGCUCCUCCCCUCCCACAGAGACCGGGAGAUGGGGGGCGCUAUCUCCUUCAACGAUUCCAUUUCAAUGGGACGGCUCCCAGGUCCUUGAGAGAGACAUUCUUAGGAUAUAAAACUGGCAAAGAA
rnacentral:lncRNA from 1 species